rnacentral:lncRNA from 1 species
CUUGAACUCCGAGGACCCGGGCCCUAACUGGGAUGAUUUCAGACAGGGCUGGAACAUACUUGGGAAAGAGCCUCGCUGGUUCUCAAGAGGGGAGGAGAAGAAGAGCGUGGAAACCAAAGGGGCUGAAAUUUCAGCUGCUGCCAGGCGUCCUGGAGCUCCAUCACACUCCCAGAAUAGCGCGGCUAGGUUCCCGGCAGCUCAGGCUGCACCGCAGCUGGGCUUCCGGUGAGGGAGACAGAGUCAAACCCCAGGCAGUGCCCGGAACAGCUGGGACUGGACGCCACCCAGAAGCCAGCUGGCUGGCCGUGCCCUGCUGGAGGCACCAUCUCUGGUGCCGGGGACAUCAAGAUGAGAGAGACAGGCUCCUGUUCUGGAGAAGGGCACAGUGUAACCCGGAGACGACCACUGAGAAGUCUGAUUAAGAUACACUAGGAUAAAUGAUGAACAAAUGCAU